rnacentral:rRNA from 1 species
UGGGGAAUCUUCCGCAAUGGGCGCAAGCCUGACGGAGCAACGCCGCGUGAGUGAAGAAGGGUUUCGACUCGUAAAGCUCUGUUAUACGGGACGAAAGGCGUAGCGGUCAAUACCCGUUACGAGUGACGGUACCGUAAGAGAAAGCCACGGCUAACUACGUGCCAGCAGCCGCGGUAAUACGUAGGUGGCAAGCGUUGUCCGGAAUUAUUGGGCGUAAAGGGCGCGCAGGCGGCGUCGUAAGUCGGUCUUAAAAGUGCGGGGCUUAACCCCGUGAGGGGACCGAAACUGCGAUGCUAGAGUAUCGGAGA